GGCCGGCGGGGCCCGGCACUGACAAGCGAUCCAGGAAACAGCCUCGGAGUCUGCGCACGGGCCGGGAGCCGCUCCUCUCACUGCGCCUGCGCACAGAAGCGGGGCGGGAUGGGUGAAAGCAGUUGAGCCAGAUAUGUUACAGAGCAGCCGUGUUCUGCAGGAGCUCUGAGAUUUUAAAUGCAAAAAUACUAAGGCCUUGUCUACAAUAAAGGUUUUCAGGAAUCUCCCACUUCGGCUCCAGCUGUAUCACUGGCGUAGCUAUGCAAGUUCCAGUGCAGACAAGCCGUCAGCAGUUUCACCAUCACAUCCUCCCAAGCAGCUGUGAGCUGGAGUAGAAGAUUUAGUAGUGAAAAGCUUGUUCUGCAGCUUCUCCACAAGCUCCUGCAUGCGCUGGUUGGUUUUGUGGUCCUCGUCUGUUUGGAAGAUCAGCUCUUUCAGGCGGCGUUCAUUCUUGUGCAGAGUUUUCACCGUCUCCACGUGACGCUUCUGUUCGGAAUCUAGCUCCGUUUCCAGUUCCUUAAUCUGAAAAGGAGGUGCAUGCAGUGAUCCUGCUCCUGACGCAGCUCUUCUGCCAUGCGGGAAGCCUAAGAGCAGGCGCAGUACAGUCUCAUCAAGCACGACAGCAUUUUAAGGCCAGCAGCGGAGCAAACAGUACAACGACCCUGUAUCAAGAGUGUGGUAUUGGUUUUCACCUGGACAUUGAUUUCGUUGUGCCUCUCAGUGAUCUCUAUCAGCUCCUGCUCCAGGAGUUUGCGAGAGCGCUCGCUGCCCUCCAGCCCAGCGCGCAUUUCUUCCAGCUCGGUCUGUGUCAGGCUGAGGCGGCGUUCCUGGAGGUUGUACUGUUCCCGGAGUUCCUCGUGCUGGCGAGCAUCUUCAUCCAUCUGAAUCUGAAGAUCCUGAAGGCAAAAGAGGGAUCAGCAUGAUUAAGAAGCAUGCAGAGGAAGCUGCGAAGUACCAGACGGCCCACCCAUCUCCUUUUCUUUUCUCCUAUUUUGUUAAAGGGACAUUGUCCAGUUAAAAAUCACGAUGUCUGAUUCUGAUGUCACUUAUGCCUGCUUUACACCAGUGCAACUUCUUUGACUUCAGUGGAGUUAGUCCUGAUUUGCACCAGUGUCAAAGAGCAAAAUAAAGCCCACAUAUUUAAAAAACGAAAACAAAUGUACUUUUCAAUGCUGUUACACCACCUUAGGUGAGUGGUUCUCAAACUGUGGGUUGAGACCCCAAAGUAGGUCGCGCCCCCAUUUUAAUGGGGUCUCCAGGGCUGGCUUAGACUUGCUGGGGCCAAAGCCAAAACCCAAGUCCCACUACCUGGGGCCGAACCUGAAGCUCGAGGGCACUGGUGCUAAGAUUACAGGCCCCUUGCCUGGGACUGAAGCCCUUGGGCUUCGAUCUUGGUCCCCCACCCAGGGGGUGGGGCUUGGAUGGGCUCAGGCUUCAGGCCCCUCUCCUGGGGUCAUGUAGUAAUUUUUCUUGUCAGAAGGGGGUUGUGGUGCAAUGAAGUUUGAGGACCCCGGACUAGGUUAUUAGAGUCACAUCCUCAGCUGCGGUGAGACCAGUUUACACCAGCUGAAGAUCUGGCCUUUAAAGGUUUUUUAUUUUUUUAAUUUUUUAAUCUAAAUUUGGUUUGCCCUUUUUAUGUUGUUGGUAUCCUUUUUGCAGUUCUCUGAGCUCGGACAAAGAAAACAGACUGGUAAGUUUCACUUUUCACUUCAGUUGAUUUCUAGUCAAUUUCACUUUCAGGUUCUCCUGCACUGGAGUGAUGAAGCACUGUUUGGUUUGCAAACACUGCAGGGCACUGUCUAUUACAAUCAAAACCGUUUUCAUUGCAAUUUUUUUAAUUGCAUGGAAAUGUUUCUGCUGGUCUGAGAUUUUGUAAAAGCCUGUGCGCCUGGUUUUUCUCUCACAACAGUUGUACCCCAUUGAUUUGGAUGAAGUUACUCCUGACUUACAUCCUUUGCUUACAAAACCUGAAUUUGGGGGCAAAUGUGACCUGACAGAGUCUCUCUAAACAAGGCUGUAUAUUCCACUGCCUAGAGUUAUUAUAUGUAAAAAGAUGUAACUGGAUAGAGUUUUCCCUUCAGGGUCCGGCUUCCUCCUCUCCAGUUUACCUUGAUCUGCUGCUGCAGUUUUUUCAGUGUCUUGACAAGCUCACUGUUGUUCCUGUUGGCGUGAUCCAGCUGGAUUUCCAUUUCAUUCAGAUCCGUCUCCAUCUUCUUCUUGAGCCUGAGCGCUUCAGCACGCCCCUUAGCCUCCAUCUCCAGACUUGACUGCAGAGAUUCAAUUGCACGCUGAUGAUUUUUCCUGCGGAUUCCAAUGAAGCACAAGUUGGAUCAUUCUGUUACACUUGAGUGCAGCCCAGCCUUUGGCUUUAGUUUCCUCUGCAGUGUGGAAUUCAGAGACUGUUCAUCUUCCACCUUAGAACUGAUUGAAUUGAUUUCCAUGUCUCGCCUGCAAGAAAAGGCACAAGAAACCCCGUCAGGUCACCCUCAGCCUUCCGUCGGGCCUUCUCCACCUCGGCACGGAUCUUCUUUUCCUGUUCCCAGUUGUCCUCCAGCUAAUCAGAGAUAAAAGGGGAGAGGAGAAUCCAUGGCCACAAGAAUUUGAAAAAGCUGGCUGGGUAGAGACAAGCACUCAGUAAUGAUAACACCCGGGCAGUAGAUGCUCAUCAGAGGCACCCAACGUAUCAAUCUUUAAAAACAAGCCCUCACACAGUAAUGAAUGAAAUGACAAUCUCAGACCACCAGUCCUCACCUCGUGUAGCUGAGUGGUAAGUUUGCUGUUGUUCUUGGUCAGAUGGUUCACUUUGUCCUCCUCAGCUUGCAGGUCAUCUAGAGUUUUCUAGGAAGAGAGAGACAGAGAAAAGAGCUAUUGGCGGUGCACUGUGUUGGCUGGAAGACUAGCUACCCUUGUCCUGACAAUAAGAAAAACACCAUCCAAAACCCUAGUUACUCUCAGUGAAGGCGCCUCAGGGUAACAGGUUUAUUAAUGAUUCAUAUAAUUUCCUAGUGUCUUAUUAAAGGUAGUAGAUGGUAGUAAUAAUCCUGGGAUACAGCUGCAGUCCUCCUCAGUCAGGCCAAACACCCACUGACAUUGAUGGGAGCUUUGUGUAAGUUGUCAGCAAGACCUGCAGGAUCUGGCCCAGUGACAACAUGUAUCGUUACAAAAGAACUGCCCUCGUUUGCUCUUGGCUAAUCCACACACCAUCUUUUGCACCCAGGAAAAGGCAGUCUCUUCCUAGCUCAGCUGAGAUGUGAGAAUAGACCACAUUAGUGAGCUCACAUCUCACAAAGACGUCAUUACGUGAGGAAAAGAGCCUGCAGAACAUUUACUAAUUCAGUACUAUUACUAGCACUAUAGUUCAUUAUCAUGACUUCUUGUAUGUUACGCUGUGGAAACGGAUGUGCCUUAACCAGGUCAGCCCACUGAGCCGAAUGCGUCUGGGGGUUGGGUUUUGACUGACUGCAGGCUCGGCACUGUAUGUAAGAAAAACGCAGUCCCUGGCCAGAGGAGGUAGCAAACGACAUGUACAAACAGCAGGAGGUGUGUUUUGCAUUUGUUCACACAAAAUCCAGCAGUUCACAAUAGAUCUCUCAGCCAUUAGUGCAAAGGAGAAAGAUUUUACUUUUCUGCAAUGUACAAUUUGUAGGAAACACAAAUCACCAGCAUGAUUGAGACCUGGGAUCCUUUCCCAUUUGUGCAGCAAUUUAAUCUCUCGAUAGUUUGCGUAGGACACCAUUUCUCCUUUACCAGAGUGCAACUCUAAGGACGCGAUUGGGGUGCCGUAAAGAAAAUGGAGCAGAUUUUUCUACCUGGUGCAACUCCUCCAACGCCCUCUUCUCCUUCUGGAGUUUAGCGAUUGUGUCGUCCCGGACGGAGAGAUCCGAAGUCAGGGUUCGCACUCGGUGGUCUAGCGCCUGGAGACAGGGAAGAUAACAUAGUCAAGAUCAUGACCAGCCAUGUCAACUUUUAGCACCCCUCAAAUCAACUAACUUGUAGUUUUUUAGCUCCGGGAAGGCCAGAACCUGGACCUCUGUUACUGACCUCUCACACCCGCUCGGUGUCUGGGAGUAGAAGAUCAAGGACCCUGUCCUGCUUUCUAUCUAACUAACACUGAUUUCAGGGGAAGCCGCAGGGUGCCACAAGCAUCCGCUGACUGUGACCCAGGGACCGUAUCACACGGACACAGAAAGGCUAUAACAUCAUCAUGGAUUUAAACCUUCAGUGACUGUUCCAAAUAAGAAAAGGUUGAUGGGGAACAGAGGGAGUAUCCUCGGAACUUAGAUAAAAGGCAACUGGGAGGGAUUCAUAGGGGCACAUUUUCUAAGCAAAAACCCAGUAACUUUGCAGUGCAAGGAAGGUGGUGAUUAACACAGGAUGUGGAAGGGCUCUGAAGGCCUCUGUAGAGAGAGAUUUGUGGGAGUUACAGGGAAAUUACUCUUCCUAAUACAGGACAAUAAGGAGAGUUGUAGAUUCAGGUUCAUCCCAGCUCAAGAUAGAAGGAAUAACAGAUUUUUAGAGACUGUGGAAGAGGGAAUAUUGAAUACUGGAGAGGGAACAGCUGACAGCUUCCGAGCUAGUUUCUCAAAGGGCAUUCAGACUGCGUGAGCUUUGCUGGUUGGUUCCCUGCUCUUGACAGGGGUUAUUUCCCUAAAGGGCAAGGAAGAGAGAGCUUAAAAUAAUGACGACGCUUCGUACCUGCUUCUCUUUCUCGGUCUUGGCCAACGUGGUUUCCAACCCCUCUAGGUCGCGCUUCAGGUCAUUGAGCUCCCCUUCCAGCU